rnacentral:lncRNA from 1 species
UUUUUCUUUUUUUUUAUCAUUUAUUUAUAUAUGUAUAUAUAUAUAUAUAUUUCAACUGUACAGCAUGGAGACCCAGUUACACAUACAUAUAUACAUUCUUUUUUCUCACAUUACGUGUUCCAUCAUAAGUGACUAGACAGAGUUCCCAGUGUGACUCAUCAAGAUCCCAUCGCUAAUCCAUCCCAAAGGCAACAUUCUGCAUCUAUUUACCCCAAGCUGCUUACCAAGAGCUGUUCUUAAAAAGAAAUUCCAAUGCUGAAAAAAGCUGAGAAUGACUGAUGCAAUAGGAUCAUGACAGAGGAGUCCAAAAGAUCACAUUUAUUUUACAUCUUAGGAUGAAAACUCUCGAAACCAAACUCAAGGGUUUAUUACUACAAGUUUGGAAAGUUUGGACAGCACCAAGCACAUAUACCCACUGGGCUAAGGGAAUCCACCAGGGCUCUCAGCCUUACCUCUUUGCUGGGCUGGGGAGCAGACACGGCCACAUCCAUUGCUGGUGCAUCGUCUUCCUUCCCCACAGUCCUGGUCUACCUUGCACUCCGUCACACAGAUACCUACAUCUUGAGAAAAGACCGGGUUGAGAGGCUCACAUUAAACCAGUACUUAUCUUAUAAAUGACCCUGACCUCAUGACAGCAUUUUACAUUUUGAUCUGGUACUUCACUGUUUAAACAUGAUCUCACAUAGAACUUCAUCCCUCUAAUAAAAAAAGAUCCGAAGUAUUUACAGGACUAUUUGGAGCAUUUCCUUAGGACUGAAGUACCUGUAGGAAAGAAAGCUGCAAAGAAAGUCGGUUAAUGGUAACCCAAAUGGGCUUUAAUCAGUAGGUUUUCUUAUUUAUAUUUCACAGACGAGGACAUAGAGAGAUAUCUGGUCAAUGGCAGAGUUGGGAUUUGAAUUCAGGGCUAUUUGCCUUGAAAGCUCAUGUCCCUUUUGCUCUACAGCUCCGUGAAAUUAACCUUGAAUACAAAGUUGAGCCCCCAAAGGUCAAGAAAUUCUUUCUGAUGGAAGUAGACAGUUUCCUGGAUUCUAACCCCUAAAAAGGUCUCAGUGUGGCUACUUGCUAUUGAGGGAGAUGGAGUUGAAAGAUGGGGGCAGGCCUGGAAGCUGCAUCAAAGCCUUGGGUAAGAGAACACCACCUGUGCCAUCAUCACAGCACCAUCAACAAGAGAAUUCUCACUGCGGGUCCUGCCACCUGGCUGACCUGCUUCUACCACUAGCCCUGUCCUUCUCUCUCAGCCUCCCUUUUAUCAUCUGCAAACUGAGGUUGUCUUGGGUGUGGCCUGGGGAAGUGGGGGAAGACUAGACCACUUGAGUAACUCCUCAAAUGUGGCUGAUUCUCAGAGUCACCUGGGAGCUUUAGAAAGACCUACAGAGAGCAGGACCUGGUCCAGACCUGAUUGCUCAGGUUUUCCAGGGCUGAACCUAUAAAUGUAGAAUUUACUGAGUGUCCCCAUGGAUAGAGACCCUCCCAGAGCCAGUGUGCCUCCGACACUGUAGGAGUCCAGAAGCUGCUGCCAAUUUGAUAAGGAAGCUUGGGGACCAUAGCUGUCUCUCAGUAUUUAAUCCUUCCUUCCUUCCUUCCUUCCUUCUUUCCUUCCUUCCUUCCUUCCUUCCUUCCUUCCUUCCUUCCUACAUUGUUCAUUUACUCAUUCAUACAUUCCCUUGUACCUAAUUCAUUUCCUUAUUCUUUUUUUAAAAAGUACCUACUAUAUGUAAGGGACAGGACUAGAUGUUUCAGGGAGUAGAGAUGUAAGUCAGGGUUUGUGUCAGCAAGGCAGAAAAAACCUGGGAUGGGAAAUCCAAGCUCUCCUAUAAGUACAUUUCCCAGCACUAUACAUGUAGUAAGUACCAUGAAAGAGGUACUGCAAAGAGAUAAAGGAUAGGAGUGGCUUAACCAUUACUGUGCUAGAAAAUAAGCUGGGGUUUAAAUGCCCACACAGAGACAUGUGUCUGCACAAACAGACAAAAUUUAGAUUUCAGGAGCAGAUGCUAGGAAAGGGCUGAUCCAAAGAAUGAAUGGAGCCCUUCCUAAGAGUUACCAUCCUCAUUUUAUCACUUUAACAAAUUAUUCAAUUUAGGAGUUCCCUGUGGCCGAGUUGGAUAAGGACCUCCCUGCUUUAGCCUGGGUUCAAGCCAUGACCUGGAAACUUCCACAUGCUGCAGGAGCAGCCAAAAAACUCCACAAAACCAAAGGAAAUUAUACACUUUAUAAACUGUCAACUAUUGCGAAAAAGUUCACAAUCUCUAUAGAACUUUAUAGUUUAAAGAGUGGUUUCACCAGGUACAUGAAUGAACAGAGAUGAUUUUAUUCUUAGAUGUUGAUCCAAUGUAUUUAUGGCUCUCGACUCUUCCUAGAUUCUGCCUACCCAAUGCCCUACCCUCUUUAGUCAAUGGCAAUCUGAGUUUCCUGGCAAGGGCACACCAGCCUGGAGUAAAGGAGCCAGGGCUUGGCAGUGAGUUUUAAACUAGGCUCUGUUGAAUUAGACAACAACAGGCUCUGCUGAGCAAGAAAGGGUUUUGUAAAUGUCAGAAGUGCCUCUUUACACAUACAAGGCUUAGAACUCUGAGCAGAGAGAAGAUGCAGGACAUAUGUGAGUUCUCAUCCCACAGAAAAGGGCAAAGUCUUUCUGAUUAAUGAAGAAGAGGGGGUGGGGAAGCAGUAUCAGAAGGAAGGAAGGAGGGAGUGAGAGGAGAGGAAAGGGAAGGGACUAUUGAUGAAAACAAACAUUCAUAACCUCUUUCACUCCUAAGAAGUAUAUUCUGGAGGACACAUUUCCACAGAUAGACAAAAAUUAAAAUUCAUUAAAGUUUCCUGAGCAACAGCCAAAAAUGUCAUGUAAAUAAAAUGACCACCAAAGGACUGGUUAAAUGGAUUAUGAUAAAUUUACUCAUUAGUAAUCAUUUCAUCCAAAAAGAAUGAGAUGCAUUUAUGUUGACAUGGAAAGAUGUCCAUUUUUAAUGUUAAAUUGUAAAAGAUAUAUGUAAAACAUGAUAGGAUACCUUAUACAAGACAAUGGGAUAUAUGUUAAUUUAUGCAAAUUGAGGCCAUAAUAUAAAGCUUGUGCUAAUUUCCUUAUGCUUCACAGACAGACCUGGGCUCUCCCCAUCCUUAUCUAUGUGGCCACAGGUAAGUCAUCUCACUGCUCUAAGCCUGGUGUCCUCAGCUGUAUAACACUGAUACCUGGCACGACUCUAACUCUGAGAUGUAAAAGCAGUGAUCUCAGAACCUGCCUGGCAAAUAGCAGGAGAUCAGGACUUGCUUCUUCCCACAGUGCCUGUGUAUCUGUCAGGAAUCAGUUAAUACAGGAGGUUGGUAAAGCCUUCUAGACACCAAAUAUUGUCAAAUAGUUCACACUGCAGUAUUUCAAAGACACAAGGAAUUUGUUGUAUCCAAUAAGUUACAAAACACAUUGAGUCCACUGGAUAAUCAAUCAUCAUGGGGUUGCCUGCCAUUGUGUACAUAAUUAUGUUGUCCAGUUGGGGGCACUGUUUGCAGUGUGAGUGGGGUGACUUAAGGAAGAGGAUAGAAAGGAAUCAGGGGAUGGGAGAGCCAAAGCAAAGAAACUAGGUUCAAUCUUUUGUGUUCUCAUCUAUAAAAUAGAGGUGAGAGGAAUACCUCCAUCUCUGCUCCCUAAAGUUCUCAAGAUUAAACAAAAUCAUGGAUUUUGAAAAGACCUGGGGAGUUCCCGUUGCGGCACAGUGAUUAACCAUGAAAACACCCGGCACAGAGAGAUUGCCCAAUGGGUGUUUUUCACUCUCACACUCCGGAGGAUGCCAACUUAUUGCAAAGGAUUAUUGAAACAAUCUCUAAAAACAAGUAAAUAGUUCAUAAACAUCACUGAAGUUUGUUGAUAAACUGCAUGAGAUUUAAAAACCAUAAACUCAUAUGAAAUUUCUACCAUUGUCAAAUAGUGAAAAAUGAAAAUAUAGCCAGCAUUAUGAAGUUUAUCAAACUUUUUUUAAAAAAUAACACUUAAUAUUUAUAUAUGUAUGUAUGUAUUGGCAGCUCUGCAGCAGAUGGAGUUGCUGAGCCAGGGAUCAGAGUCACAUGUGUGACCUAUGCCACGGAAACUGCAACCCUGCAGCUUUAAACCCAUUGUGCCGGGCUGGGGAUCAAACCCUCAUCCUGGCACUGCAGAGAUGCCGCUGAUCCCAUUGGGCCACAGUGGGAACUGCUAUCAAACUUGGUGACAAACACAGUGCAUCCUCACAACAGCAAACUGGCAAAGUAUCUUUGGAUCAAAAAAAACAUGCCUGCUCUUUGAGUCAGCAGUACCAUUUCUAGGAAUGUUUCCCAGGCAAAUAAUCAAGUUACACAUGGAAAGAUUUUGUUCUGAGAGACUCUUUGAUAGCAAAAUAUCAGAGAAGUUUCAAAGUCCCGUGGUCAAGAAUUAGUAAACAGAAUGUGGUAUCUCACAAUGAAAAUGCUUUGAAGCCUCUCAAGAAGAAUAGAAUUGUAGAAAUGUGUCCACACUCAGAGAAAGCUAGUCACUGUAUAUUACCAGUUAUAAAAAGAAAAUGGGCAAGGUUUUAAACAUUUGUGGAGUGUGAUGCUAUAAUUAUUUGGCAUCGUACCCUCUGAAUAUAUAUGUGGAAGGAUAUGAACAAACAUGUAACAAUGUUUAUCCUCUGGUCAUGGCAUAAUGGGCACAUUUUGCCUUCCAUUUGUUGGCUGUAGUUCCUGAUCUUCUCUACUGAGUAUGUAUUCCUUGAGCAAAUGCAAUGAUUUUUCUCUCAGGAUUCUCAGCCUUGAAAAUGUUGGGGUAAAGGGUCUCAUGACUGCAGUUUUUCUCAAAGAGCAAGAGCAGAGGAGACCCCAGACAUUCAGUGUAUUUAUUCCCCCCACCUUUCUGGGGGACCACACACUUGUGAAAGGUGAGAUCACGCCAAGCUCCUACAUCUCCUGGGACAGGCUGGGGUGGAGGCACUCAGGACUCACCGACUUGAUGGACGGGGGCGCAGACGUGCCCACAGCCCUUCCUCACGCACUGAUGUCCACUCCCACAGUCCCUGUCUUCUCUGCACUGGUGCUCGCAGGCCUCUGAUGAGAGGAAAGACUCGGUUAAAAGCUCUGAGGUCUUACAAUCAGAAAAAUAACAAUUUUAGGUAUGUUUACGCUAUCAUUCAAAAGUCAUCAGUUACCUAGAAAUAAAGCAAACAAGUUAUGUGCAGAACAAACAUUUUAAAUAUCUUCACGAAUGGAGAGAUAUGCCAUGUUCAUGAUGAAAACACUCAGUGUUACGAAGAUGUCCGUUUCCCUCAAACUGAAAUGGAAUAAAAUCCCAGAAGGCUUUUUCAUGAGAAUGGAUAAGCUGAUUCUAAAACUUUACAUGAAAAUCCAAAAAUGCGCAAUACUCAAGACAAACUUAAGCAACGUAGAAGGACUUCAGCAACCGUCCAUCAGGACUUGUUACACUGUGGCAGGGAACGAGAUGGUGUGGUGUUGGUACAAGAAGGGCAAGGAGACCAACGGGACAGAUACACACACAAUAUCCUUCGCUUACGACAAAGGACCCACUGCCAUACAAAAAAAGGGGAAAGAAUCGUCUUUCAGGAAAUGAGGAUGGAUCAACUGGACUGUCCAUAUGAAGAAAAAGAACACUGUCUCGUAUCUCACAUCACACAACAAACUCUGUCCCAAAUAGGUAUAGGACCUAAGGGAAAGGGAAAGCCAUAAAGCUUCUAGAAGAUAGUAAACAGUUUCAUCAUGGUCUUGGGAUAGGUAAAUAUUUUGUAAAUACUGCAGAAAUAUUAUCAUUAAAAUAGAGAGAUGAGAUCUCAUUAAAAUUAGGAAUUUUCUUCGUUGAAUGAAACCAUUAAGAGAGUGAAAAGAAAAGCUACAUUGGGAGAAACUGUUUACUUAUCCAGAAUCUCCUACAAAUCAAUGGGAACAAUACAGACAACCUAACAGAAAUAUGGGCAAAAGGAUUAAACAGAUACUUCAUAAACGAAAAAGUUGAAAGUUAUUAGAAAUAAUGUCAGAUUCUGGGAAGGUGGUUUUAGUUGUGCUGAUUGACAUGAUUUUUGAAUCUUCCAACAUCUUCCCAUAAAAACAUACAGAGCAAUUAAAAUAGCAAAACUGAAAACACAUAGACAACAAGACUGGGAAAAAAGGUUAUCCCCUCAAACUCCAAAUCUGAGUGGAGGGAAGGGGACAAAGCACCAUCCUCCACCAGCCCAGCGAGGGUCUGCUCUGUGCAGAGUCUGCGGGGGGCAGUGAGGUGACGGAUGGAGAAGUCCUGGGACCUUGUUCCCAGGACAACGUCCUGAGGAAUCCACUAGAGCCUGAUCUUCAGCCAAACAAACCCGAUUGGAGAGACAUCAACAUGGGGCCUAGUGAGGCCAUUAAAUAUGUAUUCACAGUAGAACUGAGACUCAUUUACAGUCUAUGGAGAGAGUCUAUGAACUAGCUUCAUGCUCUGACACUGGAAACACACUAUACCUAUCAAACACUGGGGAAGGGGAUGGAAAGAGCAUAUGAAGAGGAAAGGAAGUUUGAUACGUAUCUGAAGAUGGUUAAGUGGGAAUGCAAGGACAUUACCUAAGAGCAGCUGCUGGGGGUGGGGGCAUGGGCAGAGGGAGGAAGGAAAGGAGGAAAUGAGCUAAUUUUAUUAGGACU